rnacentral:rRNA from 1 species
CCGAGUUUACAACUCCCAAACCCCAAUGUGAACGUUACCAAACUGUUGCCUCGGCGGGAUUUCUGCCCCGGGCGCGUCGCAGCCCCGGACCAAGGCGCCCGCCGGAGGACCAAUUUACAAACUCUUUUGUAUAUCCCAUCGCGGAUUCUUUACAUUCUGAGCUUUCUCGGCGCUCCUAGCGAGCGUUUCGAAAAUGAAUCAAAACUUUCAACAACGGAUCUCUUGGUUCUGGCAUCGAUGAAGAACGCAGCGAAAUGCGAUAAGUAAUGUGAAUUGCAGAAUUCAGUGAAUCAUCGAAUCUUUGAACGCACAUUGCGCCCGCCAGUAUUCUGGCGGGCAUGCCUGUCCGAGCGUCAUUUCAACCCUCGAACCCCUCCGGGGGGUCGGCGUUGGGGAUCGGCACUUACCUGCCGGCCCCGAAAUACAGUGGCGGUCUCGCCGCAGCCUCUCCUGCGCAGUAGUUUGCACACUCGCACCGGGAGCGCGGCGCGUCCACGGCCGUAAAACAACCCAAACUUCUGAAAUGUUGACC